rnacentral:rRNA from 1 species
CACAUGCAGUCGAGCGGAGAUGAGGUGCUUGCACCUUAUCUUAGCGGCGGACGGGUGAGUAAUGCUUAGGAAUCUGCCUAUUAGUGGGGGACAACAUUCCGAAAGGAAUGCUAAUACCGCAUACGCCCUACGGGGGAAAGCAGGGGAUCUUCGGACCUUGCGCUAAUAGAUGAGCCUAAGUCGGAUUAGCUAGUUGGUGGGGUAAAGGCCUACCAAGGCGACGAUCUGUAGCGGGUCUGAGAGGAUGAUCCGCCACACUGGGACUGAGACACGGCCCAGACUCCUACGGGAGGCAGCAGUGGGGAAUAUUGGACAAUGGGCGGAAGCCUGAUCCAGCCAUGCCGCGUGUGUGAAGAAGGCCUUUUGGUUGUAAAGCACUUUAAGCGAGGAGGAGGCUACUUAGAUUAAUACUCUAGGAUAGUGGACGUUACUCGCAGAAUAAGCACCGGCUAACUCUGUGCCAGCAGCCGCGGUAAUACAGAGGGUGCGAGCGUUAAUCGGAUUUACUGGGCGUAAAGCGUGCGUAGGCGGCUGAUUAAGUCGGAUGUGAAAUCCCUGAGCUUAACUUAGGAAUUGCAUUCGAUACUGGUCAGCUAGAGUAUGGGAGAGGAUGGUAGAAUUCCAGGUGUAGCGGUGAAAUGCGUAGAGAUCUGGAGGAAUACCGAUGGCGAAGCAGCCAUCUGGGCCUAAUACUGACCGCUGAGGUACGAAAGCAUGGGGAGCAAACAGGAUUAGAUACCCUGGUAGUCC